AAUGACGGUACCGGAAGAAUAAGCCCCGGCUAACUUCGUGCCAGCAGCCGCGGUAAUACGAAGGGGGCUAGCGUUGCUCGGAAUCACUGGGCGUAAAGGGCGCGUAGGCGGCCAUUCAAGUCGGGGGUGAAAGCCUGUGGCUCAACCACAGAAUUGCCUUCGAUACUGUUUGGCUUGAGUUUGGUAGAGGUUGGUGGAACUGCGAGUGUAGAGGUGAAAUUCGUAGAUAUUCGCAAGAACACCAGUGGCGAAGGCGGCCAACUGGACCAAUACUGACGCUGAGGCGCGAAAGCGUGGGGAGCGAACAGGAUUAGAUACCCUGGUAGUCCACGCCGUAAACGAUGAGUGCUAAGUGU
rnacentral:rRNA from 1 species